CUUCUUCACUACACUGAGAAUGGAUCUCUACUAUACAGUGAUUUCUCAACUUAUGACUAUCUUCAUGACUAAUUCUUGUAUUCGAUCUUUGUUUUUGAACUUGCAAUUGCUUGAACAAGUUCCUUUCUUGGCAACCAUAGUUUUAAUUGUAGCGAUAAAUUCCAUUGAGUAGUGAAGAAGGUAAUAGCAGUCAUUUUACCGACUCGAUGUAUUACUGAAUGCAUUCUCUGGAGUGUCAUGGAAGUUGAAAAAAAAAAUCGAAUACAAGAAUUAGUCA
rnacentral:misc_RNA from 1 species